rnacentral:rRNA from 1 species
CACUCUCAAACCCCUGUGCACUUUUUGUAGGCUUGGUGGGAUAGGCUGACUUCGGUCGGCUUUGAAUGCCUCGCCUAUGUAUUAAAACAAACGCUUCAGUUUAGAAUGUAACCUUGCAUAAUAAGCAAAUAAAUACAACUUUCAGCAACGGAUCUCUUGGCUCUCGCAUCGAUGAAGAACGCAGCGAAAUGCGAUAAGUAAUGUGAAUUGCAGAAUUCAGUGAAUCAUCGAAUCUUUGAACGCACCUUGCGCUCCUUGGUAUUCCGAGGAGCAUGCCUGUUUGAGUGUCAUGGUAUCAUCAACCUUCAACACUUUUGUGUCUGUAGGCUUGGACUUGGAGGUCGUGUCGGCGUUCGCGUCGGCUCCUCUGAAAUGCAUUAGCGUGAAUCUUACGAAUCGCCCUCGGUGUGAUAAUUUCUACGCCGUAGACGUGCAGUAUAUAGUGUUCGUGCUUACAACCGUCUGCAAAGACAACAUCAUUGACAAUCUGACCUCAAAUCAGGUAGGACUACCCGCUGAACUUAAGCAUAUCAAUAAGCGGAGGAAAAGAAACUAACAAGGAUUCCCCUAGUAACUGCGAGUGAAGCGGGAAAAGCUCAAAUUUAAAAUCUGGCGGUCUUCGAUCGUCCGAGUUGUAGUCUGGAGAAGCGUCUUCCGCGCUGGACCGUGUACAAGUCUCUUGGAACAGAGCGUCGUAGAGGGUGAGAAUCUCCGUCUUUGACACGGACUAUCCAGUGCUUUGUGAUGCGCUCUCAAAGAGUCGAGUUGUUUGGGAAUGCAGCUCAAAA